GAGGUGCUGAGAUGGCAGUUUCUUUGUUGUGAUGUGGAGUCGGAAGAUUGCCACAUCAAACUGCGCAUCGAACUUUCAAACUCUUGCGAUUAUUGGUUUUUUGAUCACCUGACUGUAGAGUUCAUCUAUCGCUGUGAGACGUAAAUAUCUUGAAACAAGAUGGCAGGAUUAAUCAAAGCCAAGAAGUAUGACUGGAAGGACUCCAACAUGGCCCUGUUUGGGUCGGACACUGAACGACAGGUCAAAAAGGAGUCAGCCAUGACAGAGCCCGCAUGGCAGGGGGCAGGGACAGAGCCAGGCCUCAAGAUCUGGCGUAUUGUGAAAUUUGAAGUCACAGAUUGGCCAGUGGAAGAUUAUGGAAAAUUCUUCACUGGAGAUUCCUACAUUAUUUUGAAGACUUAUAAGGAAGGCAGCUCUGAGGACCUGAAGUAUGACCUCCAUUUCUGGAUCGGAACCCAGAGUUCACAGGAUGAGUAUGGAACUGCUGCCUAUAAGACUGUAGAGCUGGACACUUAUCUGGACGACAAGGCUGUUCAGCACCGAGAGGUUCAAGGUCAUGAGUCGGAGAAGUUCAAGUCGUACUUCCCAACCUUGCAAUAUCUGGAGGGAGGAGCAGAGACAGGGUUCCGCCACGUGGAGCCUGUGGAGUACAAGCCCCGCCUACUCCAGUUUAAUGGCAAAGGACGCCACAUCACCGUCAAGGAAGUUCCUUUCACGGAGAAAAGCUUGAAAUCUGAUGAUGUGUUUGUAUUGGACAAAGGACUUGAAAUCAUUCAGUGGAACGGUGUUGGGUCCAACGGAAUGGAGAAAAUCAAGGUCAGCAGUUCUGUCAGCAAUUGGAGGCCGAGAGGUCAGGUGCAAGUAACUCUGUCGUUGAGGAGGGAUCGCGUGCUUCCUCUUUCUAUGAGGGUCUUCCUGAUGAUGACGUUGAAGCUGAAGAGGAUGAGGGAGUUUCCACAGGGGAAACAACCCUGAUGAAGGUGUCUGAUGCCAGUGGAAAGAUCGAGAUGACCGAGGUGAAGAAAGGAACCGUCUCCAAGGACGACCUCUCCUCCGAUGAUGUUUUCCUGGUUGACACUGGUCUCCAAGUCUUUGUCUUUGUCGGAGGAAACGCCUCCAGUGCAGAAAAGAGAAACGGCUUCCCUUAUGCUCACAAAUACAUCCAAGAAAAUGACAAGAAGCCAUUCAUCCAAGUCACCGUGGUCAAGGAGGGACAGGAUUCUGAGCUGCAGACCCUCCUUCAGUAAACGGACACCUUGACUCCGCCCACUUAGUCACAUGACCGCCCGUAACUGUACGCAACAGCUUGUAGUAAAACAUGGCUUAGAUACAAACUGGAAAACACAUGGCAGUCUGCUCUAAAAAGUGACCAAUUUACCAGUUUAUGUUUACAAAUUAAACAUUUUCAGAUAAGAUUUCAGUGGUGGUGAUUUUUUUUUAUGUCAUAGCUUAGAUGUGAAUUGCUUUAUUUGGUCUAGAGAAAACUUGGUCUGUCUCUGUCACCAGGUUACAUUAAAAGCCUCCGCUGAGUAAGCAAAUGUUACAGUUAGGGCGUCACGGCGAUCAAUGAAUGAUUGUGGGUUCUUUACUUUCAAAUAUUUCAUUAUGUUGUACUUUUUUAUAUCAUAUAUUACUUACGUGUUGUCUUAAAUUAAUUAUUUGACUCUAAACCCACAUAGCAUGGUUAUGGUGCUUAGGAAAGGAGAUGCCAUUCACUAUUGUUAGAUGUUUUGUUUAUAUAGUGUUAUUAUAUGACAUUGGUAUUUGCAAAAUUUACACAAUUUGUUUUUUCUAUUUAUAGUUUUUUUUUUCGCACUGAUUUUCUUGCAGGAUCAUUUCUAGAUUUCGGGAACUUUUUUUUUUUUAUACUUUUUAUAAGUGUUACAUAUUUUUGUAUGUUUAUGUUUACAAAGUUUUUUUUCUGAUUAAAGUUGCAAUAGAAGUGGUCACAUGACAAUCAUGUGACUCUCGAUCUUCCUGAUAACCACCCUUGCUUCCUAUAGAUGUAUAAUUGACAUAUCUUUAUAUAAAUAAAAUGCCUCACACAUU
rnacentral:misc_RNA from 1 species